UUUGACGUUACCUACAGAAGAAGCACCGGCUAACUCCGUGCCAGCAGCCGCGGUAAUACGGAGGGUGCGAGCGUUAAUCGGAAUUACUGGGCGUAAAGCGCAUGCAGGCGGCCUGUUAAGUCAGAUGUGAAAGCCCGGGGCGUUAACCUCGGAAUUGCAUUUGAAACUAGGCAGGCUAGAGUCUUGUAGAGGGGGGUAGGAAUUUCAGGUGUAGCGGUGAAAUAGCGUAGAGAUCUGAAGGAAUACCAGUGGCGAAGGCGGCCCCCUCGGACAAAGACUGACGCUCAGAUGCGAAAGCGUGGGGAGCAAACAGGAUUAGAUACCCUGGUAG
rnacentral:rRNA from 1 species